ACGGAAGGCAGCAGUGGGGAAUAUUGCACAAUGGGGGCAACCCUGAUGCAGCAACGCCGCGUGAGUGAAGAAGUAUUUCGGUAUGUAAAGCUCUAUCAGCAGGGAAGAUAAUGACGGUACCUGACUAAGAAGCUCCGGCUAAAUACGUGCCAGCAGCCGCGGUAAUACGUAUGGAGCAAGCGUUAUCCGGAUUUACUGGGUGUAAAGGGUGUGUAGGCGGCAUGGCAAGUCAGAAGUGAAAGACCGGGGCUCAACCCCGAGGCUGCUUUUGAAACUGCUGUGCUGGAGUGCAGGAGGGGCAAGCGGAAUUCCUAGUGUAGCGGUGAAAUGCGUAGAUAUUAGGAAGAACACCGGUGGCGAAGGCGGCUUGCUGGACUGUAACUGACGCUGAGGCACGAAAGCGUGGGGAGCAAACAGGAUUAGAUACCCUGGUA
rnacentral:rRNA from 1 species